rnacentral:rRNA from 1 species
GAUGAACGCUGGCGGCGUGCCUAAUACAUGCAAGUCGAGCGAACAGAUGAGAAGCUGCUUCUCUGAUGUUAGCGGCGGACGGGUGAGUAACACGUGGGUAACCUACCUAUAAGACUGGGAUAACUCCGGGAAACCGGGGCUAAUACCGGAUAAUAUUUUGAACCGCAUGGCUCAAUAGUGAAAGACGGUUUCGGCUGUCACUUAUAGAUGGACCCGCGCCGUAUUAGCUAGUUGGUAAGGUAACGGCUUACCAAGGCGACGAUACGUAGCCGACCUGAGAGGGUGAUCGGCCACACUGGAACUGAGACACGGUCCAGACUCCUACGGGAGGCAGCAGUAGGGAAUCUUCCGCAAUGGGCGAAAGCCUGACGGAGCAACGCCGCGUGAGUGAUGAAGGUCUUCGGAUCGUAAAACUCUGUUGUUAGGGAAGAACAAAUUUGUUAGUAACUGAACAAGUCUUGACGGUACCUAACCAGAAAGCCACGGUUAACUACGUGCCAGCCGCCGCAGUAA